rnacentral:misc_RNA from 1 species
UACGUAGGUGGCCAGCGUUGUCCGGAAUUAUUGGGCGUAAAGCGCGCGCAGGCGGGCCCUUCAGUCUGAUGUGAAAGCCCACGGCUCAACCGUGGAGGGUCAUGGGGAACUGGAGGACUUGAGUGCAGAAGAGGAAAGUGGAAUUCCACGUGUAGCGGCGAAAUGCGUAGAGAUGUGGAGGAACACCAGUGGCGAAGGCGACUUUCUGGUCUGUAACUGACGCUGAGGCGCGAAAGCGUGGGGAGCAAACAGG